AAGAAGAGCUGGAAACGAGCAUUGAGGAGCCUACACCGAAAAAAGACGGUGAAAAUCCUCACAACUUAGAUAUUGCAUGUGUGAAAACAGACACUCAAGAUUCAAGUAAAGAGGUUGUCCAAACAACAAUAAUCCCUGAGGGAGAAAGUGAGGAACAUAACAAGGAAGAUGAAAUUUGCAGCUCAGACGAACUGCAGGAACAUUUGAUACUUUCAGAAGGGAAAAGCAAGGAGGAAGCCAAAGAAACCUAUAAAGAAGCCUGUGUUGAGGCUGAGCAGUUUGAUUUAUCUUCUCAAACCAAAGACAUAUCAGAAUGUGCAUUU